AUAAGUUAUAUUCUGUAUGACGCACAAAAUUUAUAAUAUAUUUAAUGAAAUAUAAUUUUAGAAGAACACUCGGUAAUAACUUCAAGCAAAAUGGGGAAUAUAGUAUGGGAAUCUCCAUGGAUCCUUGGUUCCAGUCUCCAUGGCAACGAUAGUCGAUUCGUAAAUUUUAUUCAGAAGUUCCCUCAGUUCGUCUUUACUGUUUAAUUGAUGUAUUUCGUAUCCCUCGGACGCAAGAAGAUCUGCAAGAUCUUAGGGGCUCCUUAAUUUUAUUUUUUAGCUGAGGUACAUCGAAUGAAGAAACAAUAAUAAUUUGGAGGUGCAUAUUUUCUUGCUUCCGUUGAAUGUUCUCCUCUGAACUCUCCUCAACUUCAUCUUCCAACUAACCAACCAUCCUUUGGAGAAAGUAAGAACUCCAAAAAGGCGUUCAAUUGCAGUUUUUUAUUACAUAAGUCUUGCUGAGUUCCACCUUGCCAUUUCAACUUGAUGUUACUUUUGUUUUUGCUCAAACAUACCCUUUUCUACAAAAGAAAAAGUUUCCCCCAAAAUAGACCGAUGAGGGUGCCCCUUACUUAAGUGAUUAAACAAGUCUGAAAAGGCUCCUUGACCCUGGAGAUAACUUUGUAAACCUACAAGUUCUCUAAUACAGUUAUAAAUUAUAUA
rnacentral:lncRNA from 1 species